GGGGGUCAUACAUGGGCUCAGGGUUACACAGAUGUCUUUCAAAUACCUAGGGGUAAUCCUAACAGCAGACCCUGACAAACUUUAUCGACGCAAGUACACCACUCUAAUAAAGACCCUCUUCAAUGAUCUAGACCUGGGGUAGGCAACCUUUGGCACUCCAGAUGUUCAGGACAUCUUCCAUAAUGCUCUUACAGCCAUAAUACUGAAAGAGCAUCAUGGGAAGUGUAGUCUAAAACAUCUGUAGUGCCAAAGGUUGCCUACCUCUGACCUAGACACAUGGCACAAG